rnacentral:lncRNA from 1 species
CCUUUUUGUUGUCCCGUCUUGACUGCUGCUGAAAGGUGACACACUUGGAUGGAAACAUACUGAGACGCACAGCCGGACAAUGGACAGAGAGUGAGAGAUCUUGGAGCAAGCACUCAGUCCUAAAUGGGAUGCCUGCAUGAAUUUCUUUCCCUCAGGACUCAAGAGAAUCCUUUGAAAGAGGAGGCAGAAAAAUUGUAAGAUACAGACUGGAUGGCAGACACUAAGGAAACAAGGCUUUCUAAACACAGUAGGGCCGACACACACAAGAGCUCACAGAGACUGUGGCAGCAUGCACAGGGCCUCUGUGGGUCUGCACCAGAUAUGAUCCCAGUGCCAAAAGAAGUGGACACAAGCCCUCAUCUCUAAUUCAGAAGCCAUAUCUAAUUGAUAACUGCUUGCAAAUG